UAGGCAUGUUUGUUACUUGGAAGUACAUCCUGGAUCCCAGGUCUAGAUAUCAAAGUCGCCUUCUGUGACAGCAGGAGCGGCAGGAAGACACCAGGACACUCCGUGGCUGGAAAUGGAGUCAGUGAGCUUUGAGGAUGUGGCUGUCAAGUUCACGCAGGAGGAGUGGGCUGUGCUGGAUCCAUCCCAGAAGAAGCUGUACAAAGAUGUGAUGCAGGAAACCCUGAGGAACCUGGCCUCUAUAGGAAACAAGUUGAGCAAACAGAAGGUUGUGAGUGAGUAUGAGAAACUAUGGAGAAAACUGAGCAGCCAACUGGUGGAGAAGUUCUGUGACUAUCAUGAAAGUCGUCAGUGUGCAGAAAUCUUCAGCUUCAAUCCAGGGCACUCCUGUCCAGGACUUGCUACCUUUGUAAAGAAUGCCUGUGAAGAGGGUAGAAUUGGCCAUUCAUCUCUGGGUGUGCCACUGAACCAUCAGGUAGGACCUUAUGAAGACCAGGAAUAUGGACAGGCACUGUAUGAACGUAAGGAGUUGGGGAGCAGCUCCAGUUCUCUGUCCCUUCAGAUGCACAAAAGCACUCCCACCGGAGGGAGAAAAGCUGCAAGACACACUUCAGAGUUCUUCUCAUUGUGGAGAAGAUGUGAAAUAGCUCACAUUGGAGAGAAACCUUACGCACGCCAUGUGAAAAGCCUUUAGUAAUGAGGGGACCCUCAAGAGACAUUGCCCUCAUUUGGACAGACGUCCUUUAUAUAUAUAAUGUGGUGAUCUGAAUAAGAAUGUUCCAGACCUGCUUAUAGAUGCCAAUGUUUAAUUACCAGGGAGUGGAAUUGUUUGAAAGGCUUAUGAGAGUUAGAAGGUCCGACCCUUUUUGUCUGUGAGCUUUCUGGAGGUUUGACACCGUGGGGUGGACUGUGAGGUUUCUAAAGGCCAUGCCAGGUCAGUCCCUCAUUCUCUCUGUGCUUGUGGAUCAGGAUGUAGCUCCCAGACAUGAUGCUAAUGGUCUGAGUCUCUGAAACUGUAAGCAAGCUCACAUUAAAUGCUUUGU
rnacentral:lncRNA from 1 species